rnacentral:rRNA from 1 species
CAGCCGUAAACGAUGUGCGUUAGGUGUAUCGACGACCACGAGUCGUCGAGGUGCCGAAGGGAAACCGUGAAACGUACCGCCUGGGAAGUACGGUCGCAAGGCUGAAACUUAAAGGAAUUGGCGGGGGAGCACCACAACAGGUGGAGCCUGCGGUUUAAUUGGACUCAACGCCGGAAAUCUCACCGGAUAAGACAGCGGAAUGAUUGCCGGGCUGAAGACCCUGCAUGACCAGCUGAGAGGAGGUGCAUGGCGUAGUCGUGU